GCAACACUAAAGACACCUCCUCCACCUUCGUGGGGCUUGCCACCUCGCUUAGGAAGGCAGCCCAGCAGAAAACAACAGAAGGUGCAAGGAAUGAGGCCCCUGUGUUCUACAGGAGACCCUGGAGGCCCCGGGGCUCAAGGAGGGCUUGGCAGAGUAUUCCAGCUGGAACAACACAACAUUAGAGGAUCUCCAGGGCAGGUCUGGGGGUCUGCCCUCCUGCGCAGGGCGGCACUGCGUGGCUCCCAGGACCAGGAGCUGUGCUCGCUCUGGAGACAAUGAAAAGAGAAGAUAUUCUGCAGGCCCUGAACAUGCUCUGAUUAAAGGCAGAAGGCUACUUUGAACUCAGGACCUCAGGUCUCAGGCCCGGAAACUUCUGACACUGUCCGCCACCUUCUGCCCCACCUGCACUUCUAUCCCCCCGCCUUAUUGGAAGAGCUCUCUUCAGGCGAGCACGACAGCUCAAUGAUGUGGACUCAGAUAAACUUAGAUCAUGUGCCUCUUUAUUCUGCCACGUACUGGGCUUUGGUCAAGUCCCCUCACUUCUCUGAGAUUGUCUCCUUAAGUGUGAAAUGGGACAAUAACACCCACCUCCCAGGAGAACAUGCAAAAACCCCAGCCAUGGCUCGCUGCAGUCUUCAGCGACUGGGAGCUCUGUACUGUUGGAGCAAACCCCAGCCUUCAGGCGCCCGCCUCACCUCAUAGAUGUUGAAUUGGCUCUGCCCGCGCGCCAGCUCCCGGUAGCUGGUGGUGAACUCUCCAAUGAAGUCAUGGCUGCAAGGGAAGGUUGCGGCUGAGACCACGAGGCCCCGGCGGUGCGCUGCCUCUGCCCAUCCUCCCACCUCUCACAUCCCUUCCCCUGGCUCCCAGUUCUGCCCGGGACUUCUGCCCCGGGGGGACACACCAGCAGAGAGGGCGGGUCCCUGGGAAGAGUCCAGUGUCCCCCAUGGAGCAAGAAACUCCACAGUCACCCAGCAAGAAGCAGGGUCCUGGAGAAUGGGACCCACUUCUAUGUGGAUUCUUACGUGAACAAACAGCAACAGAAGGUAUUUUGGGGACAAAUGGGGGAAUUGAAUAUGAAAUGAAUAUUAGAUGGUAUUCAAGAAUUAUUGUUCAACGUGUCAGGUGCGAUAAUGACAUUUGUAGCUAUGUAGAAAAAUGUCCCUAUUUUUUACACGUCCCCAGUGAGAUAUUUAGAGGUAACAAUGCCAUCAUGUCUGUAACUUAAACUACAUCAGCAAAGCAUAGAUAAAGCAACUAUGGCAACAAUAUGUAACGCUUGCUAGAUUCAGGUCAUAGGCUAAAUCUAAUAGUGUUCAUAAAACUCCUCUCUGCUUUUCUGUGUAUUUGACAUUUUUCCAAUAACAUUUUUUGAAAAGACAA